GCAAUACGGCAGCGGCAGACGGGAGAGUAACACGUGGGAACGUGCCCAUCAGUUCGGAACAACCCAGGGAAACUUGGGCUAAUACCGGAUACGCCCUUACGGGGAAAGAUUUAUCGCUGAUGGAGCGGCCCGCGUCUGAUUAGCUUGUUGGUGAGGUAACGGCUCACCAAGGCGACGAUCAGUAGCUGGUCUGAGAGGAUGAUCAGCCUCACUGGGACUGAGACACGGCCCAGACUCCUACGGGAGGCAGCAGUGGGGAAUAUUGGACAAUGGGCGCAAGCCUGAUCCAGCCAUGCCGCGUGGAUGAUGAAGGCCCUAGGG
rnacentral:rRNA from 1 species